rnacentral:rRNA from 1 species
UCAUUUCGCAAUGGGCGAAAGCCUGACGAUAGCGACGCCGUGUGUGUGAUGAAGGCCUUACGGGUCUGUAAAGCUCUUUCGCCUGGGAACAAGA